ACAUGCUUACAACAUAGCGUUAAUGCACCAGAUCCCAUUAGAACUCCACAAUUAAGCACACUCAGGAUAGAGUAGUACUGGGAUGGGUGACCUCUCGGGAAUUCCUAGUUUUUUACAUGCC
rnacentral:rRNA from 1 species